CGGGGCGUCGUAUAAUGGUAGUACGCGAGGCUGGGGGUCUUGCAGCGAGAGUUCGAUUCUCUCCACCCCGA
rnacentral:tRNA from 1 species